rnacentral:rRNA from 1 species
UACGUAGGGUGCAAGCGUUGUCCGGAAUUAUUGGGCGUAAAGAGCUCGUAGGCGGUUUGUUGCGUCGGCUGUGAAAUCCCGAGGCUCAACCUCGGGUCUGCAGUCGAUACGAGCAAACUAGAGUGUUGCAGGGGAGACUGGAAUUCCAGGUGAUUAGCGGUGAAAUGCGUAGAUAUCUGGAGGAACACCGGUGGCGAAGGCGGCAUCCUGGACCAAUUCUGACGCUGAGGAGCGAAAGCCAGGGGAGCAAACGGG